CAUCUUUUAAAUUCCUCUCUGUUGACAACCCAUCCUCUCUAGAGGAUGUUCUUCUUCUUCUAUCUUCUGUUCUACCAUGUUCCUCAUUAGACACUGUUCCUUUCCUUCUUUUCUCAUCCCCCCUCUUCUAUCUUCCACUCUCCUUUCCUCUUUUUCAUUGCUUAUUGAAAGUCUCAUUUACUAGCUAGAUCAUAACCCUCCGGGUUCUACUAACAGAAUCAUCAAAGUCCAAUGGCAAGACAAAAAUCUGUUGGUUGUGACGUGGCCUCUGCACAUGCUACAGUUUCUGGGAGCUACAGCCUGCAAUUUGUACAGACUUGGUGAACCAAACUGCUUUGAGGAAGACAAGAUUCUACCCAAGACUCCAAGUGCCAAUGAUUUCCCAGCUGCUGGAUCUGGAGCCCUUUUGCAAAUCUUCUGGAUCCUGAUUCAGUCAUCCUAGAUGUUGGCUAUCCCUUCCAGAUUAACGAAAGCAGAGAUUAAGUGGCUUGCCCAGAAUAACUCAACUAUGGCUUCAGAUGCUUUUGGAUUCCAGCUUCAAGAAAAAAGAUGGAAGAUGCCAAACACACCUCGGGCUGCUGAAGGAAAAGACUCUGGGAAGAGCUGGCAGUCUUUAUCAUGUUGCAACACAAGAGACUUGGGAAAUGUUCUUUUGGAUGAGACCAAGAACUUUUUGUCUCUCUCUGUCUCUGUCUCUUUUUUUGUCUCUGUCUCUAUUUCCCUCUGUGUGUGUGUGUGUGUCUAUCUGUCUGUCUAUCUGUCUCUCUUUGUUGAGCUGAAUUAGCUCAUUCCCAAUGGGAGAGAGUACCUUCACUCUGUAUUAUCUGAUAUAUAUUCUUCUAUGUAUACUUUCUCUGGUUUCUGUUUGUACGAGAUAAAGUGAGAUCUUUCAAGACAGUUGUGAAAAUCGAGUAAGGCUUCAUCUAUUUCAAAGUUUGAGUAGGCCUGAAGGACUUUAAGCAUUAAGUCAAGGGCAUACUUAAAGUGUGUCCUCCCUGCUAUCUUCUUAAGGACAAAAGCCCCUUCCUGCUCUUUUCUUAAAGACAAAAGCCCCUUCCUGCUAUCUUCUUAAAGAUAUACUUAAAGUCUCCUCCCUGCUAUCCCUUCCCUGUCAUCCCCCUAAGGGCAUACUUAAGCCCCCUUCCUGUUAUCCUCCCUAUUUCAGCCAAAUAUGGGCAACUAUGUACUUGUUGGUCAAGUUCAAUUUCUUGGAUACUUCCUGCGUUUAGAAUGUAAGAUCCUCAGGCAAUAAGGAUGAGGGUGAUUGGUGGGAGGGGCAAUUUGCAUUAGGGAUAAAAGCGCAGACCCCGCCCCCUACAGUGCUUCCUCCCUUCGAUGGGUUGGAGGCCCAUUCUUGAGAGCGUGAAUAAACUUUACUUUGCUUCUAGA